UGCCAGCAGCCGCGGUAAUACGCAGGGUGCUAGCGGUGUUCGGAAUUACUGGGCGUAAAGAGCAUGUAGGCGGAUGAAUUAGUCAGAGGUGAAAGCCCCGAGCUCAACUCGGGAACUGCCUUUGAUACUGUUCAUCUUGAGUCCGAGAGAGGGUAGUGGAAUUCCCAGUGUAGAGGUGAAAUUCGUAGAUAUUGGGAAGAACACCAGUGGCGAAGGCGGCUACCUGGCUCGGUACUGACGCUGAGAUUCGAAAGCACCGACAGCUAACAGGAUCAGAUA
rnacentral:rRNA from 1 species